AGUGGCGCACGGGUGAGUAACGCGUGGGUAAUCUACCUUCGAAUUGGGGAUAACGUUGCGAAAGCGACGCUAAUACCGAAUAACAUCCAUUAAUCUUAGGGUUUUUGGAUCAAGGGUGGCCUCUACAUGUAAGCUACUGUUUGAAGAUGAGUCCGCGUACCAUUAGCUUGUUGGUGGGGUAAAGGCCUACCAAGGCAACGAUGGUUAGCUGGUCUGAGAGGAUGAUCAGCCACACUGGAACUGACACACGGUCCAGACUCCUACGGGAGGCAGCAGUGAGGAAUUUUGCGCAAUGGGCGAAAGCCUGACGCAGCAACGCCGCGUGAGUGAUGAAGGCUUUCGGGUCGUAAAGCUCUGUCAAGUGGGAAGAACCUAUGUAAUGCUAAUAUCAUUAUAUACUGACGGUACCACUGAAGGAAGCACCGGCUAACUCCGUGCCAGCAGCCGCGGUAAUACGGGGGGUGCAAGCGUUAUUCGGAAUCAUUGGGCGUAAAGAGCACGUAGGCGGCCUGGUAAGUCAGAUGUGAAAGCCCGGGGCUUAACCCCGGAAGUGCAUUUGAUACUGCCAGGCUUGAGUAUGGGAGAGGGAAGUGGAAUUCCUGGUGUAGAGGUGAAAUUCGUAGAUAUCAGAGGAACACCGGUGGCGAAGGCGACUUCCUGGACCAAUACUGACGCUGAGGUGCGAAGGGCGUGGGUAGCAAACAGGAUUAGAUACCC
rnacentral:rRNA from 1 species